ACUUGGUGGUCGAGCUGCUGAGCAGGUUUUUGCUGGGGAAGAUUUCAACUGGAGCCCAGAAUGACUUGGAGAAAGUAACAAAAAUGACUUAUGCUCAGGUAGCAGUUUAUGGUUUUAGCGACAAGGUGGGUCUUUUAUCCUUUCCCCAGAGGGAUGAUACAUUUGAGAUGACUAAACCCUAUAGUAGCAAGACAGGUGCAAUUAUAGACAGUGAAGUAAGAGAAUGGGUAGCCAAAGCAUAUGAACGUACUGUUCAAUUGAUAGAGGAACACAAGGAGAAAGUUGCUCAGAUUGCUGAGCUGUUGCUCGAGAGGGAGGUCCUUCAUCAAGAUGACUUGGUUAGAGUCCUGGGCGAGCGUCCGUUCAAGUCAAGUGAGCCUACUAAUUAUGAUAGGUUUAAGGAAGGAUUUCAAGAUGACAGGGAGUCUAAAGAUACAACCAAGGGUGGGACCUUGGAGGAUGAUAGAGGAUCACCGAACAUUGAACCGCAGGUUGUUCCCGCUUAGCAGGCGGAAAAAGUUUAUGGAU
rnacentral:misc_RNA from 1 species